GUUAUUCGUUAUUAGAUUGUAUUUAAGUCUCAUACUAUAAUAAGAUCACUAAUAUAAUACAUCUUAUUUUUUUAUAAACUAUCAGGUUUAACAGCGGAGUGGGUUAAUUUCUGGAACACUUAAUUAUCUCAUUUUGUGGUCGCCAAGGCGGCAUUGGGAUCGAGAGGUUUAUGUGCGCAUGCACAUGUACAUGCGCAAUGUAGUUUAACGGUAACAAAUUGUGUUAACCUAAUAAAAAUGUGUAUUAUUAAUAUUUUCAUAAGUAAUGAAUUAUUAUGAAUAAAAGUAGUUAGUAUGUAACGUGAUAUGUAAAAGUAGUUUAUGAUGUAAGUAUUAUGAAUCCUUAAAUUAUUGUUCCUGAUGUCAGCGUUUCAUAGUUGUAUUUUUUAGUGGAUGUGACUUAUGUCUUGGAAUUUGAGUUGAAUAAGAACAAAUAAUAAUAGUUGUGAAAAUGGUUAUAGAUAGAGGAGAUAUUCAAGAGCUGGAAUUGACCGAUGAAGAUUUUAUAGAAUUACUAGAAUUAGAACUGUUUCCAAGGACAUUUUUUUGACUGGAAUGAGGAGAAAUUUAUAGCUCUAUUUCGAUUAACCAAACUAACAGCCCAAUUUGUUAUAGAACACGCAAAGGUAUAAAAAACAUGAGAGAGAUUUAUGCAAUCACUAAUUAGGUAAAGGUAUUAUUAGGAGCACGAAUGAUUUGUUUAUUUUUCAUAUAUUAUCUUGCAGAGUUUUUGUUCAGUUUUUAUUCUUAUCAAUAAAAGCAUUUAAUAUAC